rnacentral:rRNA from 1 species
UACGUAGGGGGCAAGCGUUAUCCGGAUUUACUGGGUGUAAAGGGAGCGUAGACGGCAGUGCAAGUCUGAAGUGAAAUUUCGCGGCUCAACCGCGAAACUGCUUUGGAAACUGUACAGCUAGAGUACCGGAGGGGUAAGCGGAAUUCCUAGUGUAGCGGUGAAAUGCGUAGAUAUUAGGAAGAACACCGGUGGCGAAGGCGGCUUACUGGACGGUAACUGACGUUGAGGCUCGAAAGCGUGGGGAGCAAACAGG